GACAGAAGAAGCACCGGCUAACUCCGUGCCAGCAGCCGCGGUAAUACGGAGGGUGCGAGCGUUAAUCGGAAUUACUGGGCGUAAAGCGCAUGCAGGUGGUUCGUUAAGUUACAGAUGUGAAGACCGGGCCGCUAACCUCGGAAUAGCAUUUGAAACUGGCAGACUAGAGUACUGUAGAGGGGGGUAGGAAUUUCAGGUGUAGCGGUGAAAUGCGUAGAGAUCUGAAGGAAUACCGGUGGCGGAAGGACGGCCCCCGUCCGGACGAGAAUACUGACACUCAGAUGCGAAAGCGUGGGGAGCAAACAGGAUUAGAUACCCUGGUAG
rnacentral:rRNA from 1 species